CUUUGUAUAAACAAGGCACGCCUUGCUAAUGACUGUGCCCCUGAAGAAGAACUAAAAGACUGAUAAGAAGGGACCAUCCUACCCCAGGAGGCACCAAAAGUUGAAUAAUUGCUAAUAGGCAUGAAGUCAGCAAAAAUCUUCCAUAACUGGAGGAAAGGCAUGAGGUGUGCUAGCUUUGUGGAUUACCACCUAGCCCCCAUCUUUGCACAAACAUGAAUUGGAAUAAAAUACCUCUGCUCUG